GUCUACGGCCAUGCCACCCUGAACAUGCCCGAUCUCGUCUGAUCUCGGAAGCUAAGCAGGGUCGGGCCUGGUUAGUACUUGGAUGGAAGACCACCUAGGAAGACCAGGUGCUGUAGGCA
rnacentral:rRNA from 1 species